AUGCGUGUUAACACUUUCAGUUUUCUGAAGAAAAGCUUCAGGCUUCUGCAGUUUUCAUUCUUCACGGCGCAGAGGUUACAGAGGUCAGAUGAUGUGUGCAAGGAAGGAAAGAUGCAGACAAGCAACGCCGAAGACGUCUUCAAAGCGCUUGAUGAGAUUGAGUUCCCAGAGUUGGUAGAGCCCCUGAGGACUGCAUUGGAUGAAGCAAAAAGGCAGCCUGGAGCAAAACAGAGGAAACUAGAUAAAGAGCCAAUGCUGCAGAGCGAAAUGAUCGAGCAAACGAAGCCAACGCGGACGACAAUUAACUGCUCUAACCUUGUGGAAUGA
rnacentral:rRNA from 1 species